CGCGGCGUUAAUUGCUUAGUGUAACUUGAGUCAUAUGCAUGACGAGAUGAGGCAAUCAUUCCGAUAUCGCCAGCUUUCUACGAAAAUGCUAAGCGGAAAUUCAUUCAAAAUAUUUUUCAGUUGUAAAAAUUCUUAGUUUUUCAUCAAAAAAAUUUAGCAAGUGAUUUAAAAAAAAUCGUAUUAAAACAUGGUCAUGUGUCCUCCGCGCGAUCGGUUACGCAACGCCUCACUUCCGUUUCAUUAUCAUAUCGUUCUUUUACACUGAAAGUGCCGAGCUGUGCGGUUGAGCUAUUAUUGUCCUGUUAAUAUUUCUGCUUGAUAUAUUCGUGUUUGAUCUUUCAUCAUUAUAAUGGGAUCAAUAGGACUCGUCCUGGAAGAAAGCAACCAAUUGAAUAUAUCACUGACCGCUACAAUUGCGUCGGAUAUUGUGCUGCUCGUCAUUCGUGUGGCACAGGUUCCAAAUGUCAAGUAGAUACUUUGGUAGCUCCAUAGCGUUUCUCUGUAGAGAUUCGUCCAUUCGUCGUCAUCCUGGAGGAAAGCAAUGCGCAUCAAGCAUCUUUUAACAAACCUCUGCAAUUUUUAAUCGAUGCUACUGCUCGAAUCCUAUUACGUUACCGGCUGCGUAACUGAACUGUGCUAUGUUCACGCACUCAUUUUAUAGCGUUGCGCUUUAAAAAUUUACGUGUUCUAUGAUUGACACGUAAUGCUGGUAUCCAUUUCUAUGGAAGGUACGACUGAUUAUGUCUUACUUCAUGCAUUUACUGCACCUCAAGCAACUUAUUACUUACUUUCGCCAUUGCGGCUAGCAGCGGUUACGCGCAUCUGAAGUUGCCGAUAGCGGAACCUGAGCUGCUGCCACAUCUUUUUGCACUCCGGCACCGAUCUCCGUAGCCCCGCAGCUAUUGUACCCCAUGCCCUGGCAGUAAGGGUUUUAUUGCCAUAGUACAUAUGACUUGUCUGCCAGAGCAAGGGGUGUUUUUCAAUGCAACGCAAAAGCUGCAACUUUAGGCUACGGGUUAAUGCCUUACAAAAAAAGACAAAUCAUGAAUUAUUACUGUAUAUGGAUAGCCAUAUGUUGGCGAUUUUAUUAAAAUCCAUACGAGACAUCUGAAAAUGUAUGACUGCAAAAACACAAACCACACAGGCGUGAAAUUGCAAAAAUACUGCUAGUUGCUAUCUUCGUGUAACUGCAGCCGGAAUAGUGGCUCAAUUACUUUUGUUGAAUAAAUAAAUAAAUCAGCAAAACAAUAAUUCCUAGACCUCACAAAGCAUUGAAGUCCUAGCGCCCUCAAACCUUCCUAUCGCGUCAAUUAUAGCCUGCAGAAUUCUGGAGGCGUCUUUAUUUUUUAGUUUUUGGCCUCAUUGCUUGAGUUGCCACCUCAAAAAAUGGGCCAAAAUCAUACGCCCCUAUAUCCUCCUCCCUAGGUACAGGCCUAGGAGUAGAGGAAGCCACCGGGUUGCCCAAUCCGCCAGCUUACAAACUUAAAUCACUAUUUCGAAGCGCAUAUUAUCGUGAAUAUUUUUGUUUUGUCUUAGGUUAAAACUUUUGCCUUAUCAGUAUAGAAAUAAGUUCUGUACGCCUGUAGUGGCUCUAAUAUUUUAAUUUAAUAAACAAAUAAAUAGAUAAAUAA